AGGCCAGUCGCGGGACUGGGGAACUGGCAGGCUGCUGGCCGGCGCGUGGAACCACCCCCGCCACCCCCGCACCCCCAAUGUUGAACCAGAGUUCUUAACUUCCAUGUGCACGAACCCCAGGGAGUGCAGGAACACCCCCAAACUGUGCACAAAUUGAGCAUGUUUGUGCAUUCUUCAGGGGAGAGGGGCCGUGGGCUUUCCUCCGGUUUUCAGAAGUCCACGGCCCCCUAAGGUUGAGAACUCCCUCUUCAAUCAUAACUGAUGUUUUUUUAGUUGCAUACUUGGUACCAUGCAGACCCUGUCUUUAUUUACAUUUUAGAUAUUUUGUUCAUUGUGGGGUUUUGCAUUAAUUUUGAUACUUUUAAAAAUAUUUUAAAAGUAAAAAAUUAAAAUAUUAUUUUGAUUACUUAGGGGUUUGGGGCACUGCUUUGGGCAAUUUACCUCCGUUGCUGAGUUUUCUUGGCAUCUCCUGGAUCCAAAUCUUAGGCUUUAAGGGGUUCUGUGCAGAUCCUCAGCAGCCUCCCCAGCUUCAGAUCCGGCCUCCUGAGCUCCAGUCUCUCUGAUACCUGCACCCAGGCUCAGGUGCAGGCCAGAGCUCACCUGACUCUGGUGAGCUGCUCUGCCCUACACCGGGAUUGCAGCACACAUCACAUGGCGCUGUCAUUGUCAGAUCCAUCUCUGUGUCCCCACACCCAGCCUGACACAUGGAGCCUGGGAUACAAUAGAUGCUCAAACCGUUGGGACUAACAAUUUGUACCUGGCCUUCGUGAGACCCCUGGAGGGAACUGCCACUGGCGCUGGUUUCGUAGCAAGAAUAUACCUCAAAUGACCAAACAGGAAUGAAAAACUUCAGAUGGUUUAGGUGCCAGUGGCUUCCGAAUAAAACAGCAUUCUUGAAGUGAACAGCUGAUGAGGACAUGAAAUAUUAUGCCAAAGCUGGCAUCACACUGUUCUUUUUCCUGGAUGAAAAUCUCUCUGAGAAGCAUUUGCUCUUAACUUUGGUGUCCUGGGGACUGCUGCCUUAUCCCAGGAAGCCACCCAGAGUCUUGGAUGUGUGGGAUCCUUAGGACUUCAUGGUAAACCUGCUCUAGUCCCUCGGGUUAGUAAAAUGAAGCCCAGGACAUCUGAGAGCCCCCAGCACUUCCAUAGAAAUGGACCAAAAUCCCUUCUCCCAGGGGGAGAAACCUGGAAUAAGCUCAAGAGGACAGACGGCUAAAUUUUCAAGAAUCGUGUGAGCUGCUGUUAAACAAGCCAUUAUUAAAACUUUAAUUGUGUAAACUUACAAUUAGGUCAGUUAUAUUAAAAGUAAAAGUGAUACAUACCC
rnacentral:lncRNA from 10 species